rnacentral:rRNA from 1 species
AUUGAACGCUGGCGGAAUGCUUUACACAUGCAAGUCGAACGGUAACAGGCCGCAAGGUGCUGACGAGUGGCGAACGGGUGAGUAAUGCAUCGGAACGUGCCCAGUCGUGGGGGAUAACGCAGCGAAAGUUGCGCUAAUACCGCAUACGAUCUAUGGAUGAAAGCGGGGGACCGUAAGGCCUCGCGCGAUUGGAGCGGCCGAUGUCAGAUCAGGUAGUUGGUGGGGUAAAGGCUCACCAAGCCGCCGAUCUGUAGCUGGUCUGAGAGGAAGACCAGCCACACUGGGACUGGGACACAGCCCAGACUCCUACGGGAGGCAGCAGUGGGGAAUUUUGGACAAUGGGCGCAAGCCUGAUCCAGCAAUGCCGCGUGCAGGAAGAAGGCCUUCGGGUUGUAAACUGCUUUUGUACGGAACGAAACGGUCCUGGUUAAUACCCGGGGCUAAUGACGGUACCGUAAGAAUAAGCACCGGCUAACUACGUGCCAGCCGCCGCGGUAA